GGGCCCAUGGUCUAGCGGUUAUGACGAUGCCCUUACAAGGCAUAGAUCUCCGGUUCGAAUCCGGAUGGGCCCA
rnacentral:tRNA from 1 species